UGGCAUCAGGGUGUAGAGAGCUACAGGAGUGUAGCUCCACCUAAAGUCCCUUUCCCUUCUUUCCCUUCUUUCCCUUCUUUCCCUUCUUUCCCUCUUUUAUAGGGUACCCCUUUCUGAGUUUAUUUUUCUUACUCUUGAAUAAUUUACUUUCUAACACUUGUCUGUGUACUACUCCUAAACACUUAAAAGUUGCAGCUUUUGCUCCUUAUUGUUCACAUUAAGACAAUUUAAUUAGCUGACCUUUCUACUUUCCUCUAAGAAAACAACAUUAAGUGUUCUAAUUAUUUAGUCACCUUCUUCUGAGCAAGUUGCCUGUAGAAAACUCUCUUCCUGACUUCAAUGAGUGGGGUGUUGAAACCGCACUUUGGGCAGAACUUAGGCUUUAUGAAAUUGGGGGCUUUGUGUUAAGAAUUAUGGGAAUACAAUGCAAACUAUAUUAUUGGACAAACACCUGUGAUGUGAAAGGACAUAAAAUGGGCACAUCUAAUGCUGAUCAUGAUUAAGGACUGGAAGAGAUUCCCAGGACACCAGACACCCUAUCAGGGAGUUUAGGGUAAAUGACAGUGACACAACAGUAACAUCUGAAGGACAUCUGCUUCUGACAAGGAUGCUCAUCUUCCUGCAGUGAUUGCACUUGUUCAUGCUUGAGAGAGUAAAGUGGAAGCUGAACGACCUCUGGUUUAGAUUUUAAUUGCAAGAAGGUGAGGGUUGGAUGGGUUGGAUGACAGAAGAUAAAAUUGUAUUUUAGCAUCGAGGUUAUCCUGGAGUAACUUUCAAGAAGUACUUACUAGAUUCCUCAGGGGGACAGAGAGUGAAAGAAUAGAUUGAAGGAAAGUAAAUCACAUAAGCAUCUUUAAGAUGGUAACAGUUUUCUGAUACAGUGUAUGGAAUUAUUACUGGUGUUAAUAUUUUGUUGACUCGUCUGUGACAUUAUCCACAAUACAAAUAAUUAAUAGGAUUACAUUCUUCCAGUAAAAGAUAUGAAUGGUGUAUCAGAGUUUGAGGAGAGAAGGAACACAUCUGUAGGGACAGAAAAGUUGCCUUUCUUGUUAAAAUGCUUGUACACUAAUGUAAUGGGGUAGGUGGUAGUACUCUGCAGGAAUUUUCAUGUGAGAUAUAUGUGGUUUUAUGUUGUCCUGUUGUACAGUAAUAUAGGAAGAAACUAAGAAUUUAAUGUAUCUUGGUGUUGAUUUUGGAUACUAUAACUACUAUGAGAAGAAACAUAAAUAUUCAUUGUUAUGGAAAUUGAGCAUGAGUCCACAUCCUGGUUAUGUUUUGCUUGUAUUUAAGACACGCAAAUAAAACCAUAAGAACAAUUCUAAAACAAUAAAUACACCCAACUCUCUUCUGGUAGCAAUGCUCCCCUUUUGAAAAGGGGAGGACAGCAGGCUCCCUGUAUAUAGAAAUGUAUGUUUUGCAUUUUAUUUCCUUGAUGUUGUAGAAAUGGAUCUUUGGAGAACAGCAAACUCUCUUGACAAUCAUUUAAGAAAAACAUUUUUUCCCUUCCCCUUUGAAAUGUUGUUUUAAAUUAGGAACAACAGUACUGAUGCCUGUGAAGGCAUUCUCCUUGCAGAUAUGUGCAUAUUCUGCAUUGUGACUGAGGCAAGAUGGGCUAAGCCUUCUUUUUGCCCAAACAGACACAUUUGACCAUGUUUAUUUUGAUAAUUUACUUCUCCUCCUCCUCUUCUGAGGUGUCCUUAACUACAUAUGAUUUUCCAUAUGCUUACUUCUGAGAGAAGAAUUUCUGCACUGCCUAUAGGAUGCUGAGGCAUAGAAAUGCUGCAGAUUUGCCCAAUAACACAUCACAAAGUAAUAUGAAGAAUAGGAAAAUAAUUUAACCACUUUGACUUUCCAAGCUCUUUGUAAGUACCAUUAGCAUAUUUCCGAGCUGUUUCAAAAAUAAUACAGGUUUUAACUUGUGACAUUCAUUUUGAUGUUUUAUUUUAUCCUCACUAGCUAAGAUCAUUAUAACCUUGCUCAACCCUAUAUGAUAGAGAAUUUAAUAUUUUAUUUUUAAUAUUUGCCUGCAGAAGAAAGAUUCCCAUUCUUGCAGGAAGUUUUUAGGUAGUAUGAAUCAUUCAGUUGCUUUUUAGAAUACACUCAAUUUCUAAACAUCAUAUUAUCUUUGCUUAAUU